rnacentral:rRNA from 1 species
GAUGAACGCUGGCGGCGUGCCUAAUACAUGCAAGUCGAGCGAACAGACGAGGAGCUUGCUCCUCUGACGUUAGCGGCGGACGGGUGAGUAACACGUGGAUAACCUACCUAUAAGACUGGGAUAACUUCGGGAAACCGGAGCUAAUACCGGAUAAUAUAUUGAACCGCAUGGUUCAAUAGUGAAAGACGGUUUUGCUGUCACUUAUAGAUGGAUCCGCGCCGCAUUAGCUAGUUGGUAGGGUAACGGCUUACCAAGGCGACGAUGCGUAGCCGACCUGAGAGGGUGAUCGGCCACACUGGAACUGAGACACGGUCCAGACUCCUACGGGAGGCAGCAGUAGGGAAUCUUCCGCAAUGGGCGAAAGCCUGACGGGGCAACGCCGCGUGAGUGAUGAAGGUCUUCGGAUCGUAAAACUCUGUUAUUAGGGAAGAACAAAUGUGUAAGUAACUAUGCACGUCUUGACGGUACCUAAUCAGAAAGCCACGGCUAACUACGUG